ACAAUGACAUUUUUUUAGUAAUUGGAUUUUGGAGAAAUGUGAAAAUUUGUAUGUUACGGAUUGAUGGUACUUUAUGGCUUUUCUGAAUAAUAUUGCGAUUUUAAUGCAUGAUUCUGGGGUAUGGAAGUUUGAGGCUGUGAUUGUAUGUGGUUUGUUAAUGACCCUUGAAGUUUUUCAGGUCAAGCAUGCCAAAAAUAAAAAAGAAUUUGUGGCAAUCUCGUUUUUUCGAGGUGAUCACCUUUUUCAAUAUGAUCGCAAUCAUUCUAAUGAUCUAUGUUAACUGUUUGGGUAAACAUAAUCUGUUAUCUCAUUAUCUGCAUGUAGAGGUAUUUCCUUUCUGCUCUUGAAAGGACAGGAGGGAGGAUUCUAUAAAUAUGUAAGUUUAUUUGGUUACAGAAAAUAAUGAGAAUGGGCUAAUAUCUUAUUUGAGGACGAUGUGCCCGGUCCCUUUAGAUUACAAAGUUUUUGUCGCACAUGGUUCCUUCGUGAAGUUGAUGUUAUUUAAGCUUGUCAGAAGUUGAAGCAUCUGAUAUUGAAAUGGCUCGUUUUCAGCUUAUUUAAAAGCAAGUGAAACUCUUCAAAAAUUAAAAGUUCCCAGUAUUGAGAAAAAUUUGAGAUUAUUCCUGGAUUUGAGCGUAUUUGAAUUGCUAUCAAGCCAUUUUAUGAAUUUGUUUCUACUGUUGCAUUAAUGGUUGCCUUCCUACAAGUUGAUUUUGUCCUACAAAAGGUUUCUAAACGCGAUUACAAAAUGAAACCCAAAGCAUAUAGAAUACGAGGUUGGUGUGUAUUUUUAUGGUUAUUCUUAUGCUGGUUCUCAUUUGGGCUCAUGACUAAUACAAUGCAUCUUAAUGUGUUCAUGUGAAAUAAACCGAGGGGUUGUGGAUUGCUUACUUCUGUUGUGGCUCUGAUGCCCCCAAGUCCCCUGGUUCUUGAGUCUUCAGAUUGAGAUUUUGCUCAGUUGCAUAUCUUCAGCAAAUAUGGUGGUUUGAAGUUGAUGGGGAAGUUGAGUUCCCGUUUCCUGUCGGGACAUACAGCCUAUUCUUCAGGUUGCAGCUGGGACGGUCUUCUCAGAAGAGGUUUGGUCGCCGAGUUUGCAACAUUGAGCAUGUCCACGGUUGGGACAUAAAACCUGUGAGGUUCCAGCUUUGGACUUCAGAAGGUCACUAUGCCUCGUCUCAAUGCUUUUUAACCGAACCUGGAAAAUGGAAUUACUACCAUGUUGGGGACUUUGUUGUGGAGAAGCCGAAUGCAUCAACGAAGAUUAAACUCUGUAUGACCCAGAUUGAUUGCACCCACACCAAAGGCGGUCUCUGUUUAGACUCUGUACUUAUAUACCCUAGCGAAUUUAGAGAAAGGCUAAAGCAUUUUUAGUUUGCGCGUAAGCUUUUUAUCGGGUAGGAAGCGCUGUAUCAUAGAGGUAGGUC